UGGAUUCAGCGGCGGACGGGUGAGUAAUGCCUAGGAAUCUGCCUGGUAGUGGGGGAUAACGUCCGGAAACGGGCGCUAAUACCGCAUACGUCCUGAGGGAGAAAGUGGGGGAUCUUCGGACCUCACGCUAUCAGAUGAGCCUAGGUCGGAUUAGCUAGUUGGUGGGGUAAAGGCCUACCAAGGCGACGAUCCGUAACUGGUCUGAGAGGAUGAUCAGUCACACUGGAACUGAGACACGGUCCAGACUCCUACGGGAGGCAGCAGUGGGGAAUAUUGGACAAUGGGCGAAAGCCUGAUCCAGCCAUGCCGCGUGUGUGAAGAAGGUCUUCGGAUUGUAAAGCACUUUAAGUUGGGAGGAAGGGCAGUAAGUUAAUACCUUGCUGUUUUGACGUUACCAACAGAAUAAGCACCGGCUAACUUCGUGCCAGCAGCCGCGGUAAUACGAAGGGUGCAAGCGUUAAUCGGAAUUACUGGGCGUAAAGCGCGCGUAGGUGGUUCAGCAAGUUGGAUGUGAAAUCCCCGGGCUCAACCUGGGAACUGCAUCCAAAACUACUGAGCUAGAGUACGGUAGAGGGUGGUGGAAUUUCCUGUGUAGCGGUGAAAUGCGUAGAUAUAGGAAGGAACACCAGUGGCGAAGGCGACCACCUGGACUGAUACUGACACUGA
rnacentral:rRNA from 1 species